AUUGAACGCUGGCGGCAGGCCUAACACAUGCAAGUCGAGCGAGCGGCGGACGGGUGAGUCAUGCCUUGGAAUUGCCCAGACGGGGGGGAUAACAGUUGGAAACGACUGCUAAUACCGCAUACUAUUGGAUUGCACAGGUGGGGUUGGCUAGUUGGUGAGGUAAUGGCUCACCAGGGCGACGGUCCCUAGCUGGUCUACGAGGAUGAGCAGACACGCGGGAACUGUGACACGGUCACACCUCCUAGGGGGGGCAGAAGUGGGGAAUAUUGCACAAUGGGGGAAACCCUGAUGAAGACAUGCCGCGUGUGGGAAGAAGGCCUUAGGGUGGUAAGGCACUUUCAGCGAGGAGGCGUUACUCGCAGAAGAAGCACCGGCUAACUCCGUGCCAGCAGCCGCGGUAAUAC
rnacentral:rRNA from 1 species